ACUAUUUACAUUCUAGAUGUUGUAUAUAUUAUAUGUUUUUUGUACGGUACACUUGCAUUCGUUCCUAUUUCACUCUCCCUCUCACUGGUUUUUUCGAAUAUUUUGUACGUGGUUGCAAAUUAAAUUAAGAGCAACUACCUACUAAUCUAUAGUUAUUUUGGCAGAAUUGAAUGUAGUAGCCUCGUAGGGCCAACAUGACCGAACUCAAAAUGUGCAGCCCACCUCCAAUCCCGUAGAAGAUAGUGCUGCCCUGCCGAAUGCCGCCCACCUCCAAUCCCGUAGAAGACAAAGAGAGAGGGAGAGAACUGGACGGCGGCGGCGGCGGAGACGACGAUGCAGUGGUACUUGGUGGCCGCGCUCCUCACCAUCCUCACCAGCUCCCAGGGAAUAUUGACCACCCUUUCCCAGAGCAAUGGCAAAUACAAUUAUGAUUAUGCCACAAUUCCUUUUUUAGCUGAGCUCUUCAAGUUAUCUGUCUCAGGCUUCUUCCUCUGGAAGGAAUGCCAUUCUUCAUCUCCACCAAGGAUGACAAAGGAAUGGAGGAGCGUGCGACUAUAUGUUGUUCCUUCAGUUAUAUACCUCAUCCACAACAAUGUCCAGUUUGCGACAUUGACCUAUGUUGACCCAUCUACCUAUCAGAUAAUGGGAAACUUGAAAAUUGUCACGACUGGGAUUUUGUUUAGGCUUGUCCUAAAAAGGAAGUUGUCCAAUAUACAAUGGAUGGCAAUUGUUUUAUUGGCUGUUGGUACAACUACAAGCCAGGUUAAAGGAUGUGGAGAUUCACCAUGUGAUUCUCUUUUCUCAGCACCAUUGGAGGGUUACUUGCUUGGAAUACUUUCUGCUUGUCUUUCAGCUCUAGCUGGUGUGUACACAGAAUAUUUGAUGAAGAAGAAUAAUGAUAGUUUGUACUGGCAAAAUGUACAAUUAUAUACGUUUGGAGUUAUCUUUAACAUGGGCUGGCUAAUUUAUGGCGAUUUUAAAGCUGGAUUUGAGCUAGGUCCAUGGUGGCAGCGCCUUUUUAAUGGUUAUUCGAUCACAACAUGGAUGGUAGUGUUCAAUUUAGGAUCUACUGGUCUUCUAGUAUCAUGGUUGAUGAAAUAUUCUGACAAUAUAGUCAAGGUGUACUCAACUUCAAUGGCAAUGCUUUUAACGAUGGUUUUAUCUAUAUAUCUUUUCAGUGUGAAAGCUACAAUUCAGCUCUUCUUGGGCAUUAUCAUUUGUAUAAUUUCCCUGCAGAUGUAUUUUAUGCCUGUGCACAUGCUUAUUGAGUUGCCACAAACUUUGCCUGUAACAUCAAAGUAGGUUCAUGGCAUUGUUAGCUAACCCAUUGAUCAGCUGAGGGUAGGGCACUGUUGAUUGAGUGGUUAAUUGACUAUCUGCAGCCCAGCUCUAUUUGAGUCAUAUAUUUGGAGAUUUAUGGUUGUAAUCUCAACAGCUAUGGAUAUAGACAGCUAGGUUAGUUUCAUGUUGCAGGAAAGGUGAAUCAACUGUCAAGUGAGCAUGUAAUGCCAAUACAAAUGGAUUGAAAGUUAACACCUACAUGCCUUCCAAUUUUUAUCCAGUUUUGCAUUAAUGGAGUCGAUAUGGAACUGACAAGUACAAUGAGUUAUGGCUUCAUUACAAAAAAGUACACAAUUUUGCUCCUGCGGCAGCAGUCUUGUCUUUUCAGGAAAUUCAAACAGGACAAAGUGUUCAUUGAGCAGAUCCUCAGGUGUACUGAUUUUUUUUUAUCAUCAUCAGUUAGAAAUGGCUGUACAUUCUAGCAUAUGUUAUUUAUUUUAGUUAAAAGAAAGCGCAACACUGUUACUGUGAUUAAUUUCAUGAAAAUCAUAGCAUCGUUAAAUUA